UACGAAGGGGGCUAGCGUUGCUCGGAAUCACUGGGCGUAAAGGGUGCGUAGGCGGGUCUUUAAGUCAGGGGUGAAAUCCUGGAGCUCAACUCCAGAACUGCCUUUGAUACUGAAGAUCUUGAGUUCGGGAGAGGUGAGUGGAACUGCGAGUGUAGAGGUGAAAUUCGUAGAUAUUCGCAAGAACACCGGUGGCGAAGGCGGCGAGCUGGCCUGUACCUGACGCUGAGGCACGAAAGCGUGGGGAGCAAACAGG
rnacentral:rRNA from 1 species